AUUUCUUUUUUACCACAAAGUUCUUUGGGCUGAGUCCAACUUCGUCUCUGUCUGACUUGAUGUUGGCUGGGGAACAAUUCUGUGGAGAGUAUUGGUCAAAGCUUAAAGAAAAGUAUCAUACUCUGGCUGAGGAAGAUUUGUCACGUUAUUGUUUCUCUUCAGCAUACAUAGUGGCCCUACUGCAUGACAGUCUUGGUUUCGCUCUGGAUGAUAGGAGCAUUGUGUUU